rnacentral:rRNA from 1 species
UACGAGGGGGGCGAGCGUUGUUCGGAAUUAUUGGGCGUAAAGGGCGCGUAGGCGGUGCGGUAAGUCACCUGUGAAACCUCUAGGCUCAACCUAGAGCCUGCAGGCGAAACUGCCGUGCUUGAGGGUGGGAGAGGUGCGUGGAAUUCCCGGUGUAGCAGUGAAAUGCGUAGAUAUCGUGAGGAAUACCAGAGGCGAAGGCGGCUCCCUGGACAAUUGCUGACACUCAGGCACGAAAGCGUGGGGAGCAAAAGGG